rnacentral:rRNA from 1 species
UACGGAGGGUGCAAGCGUUAAUCGGAAUUACUGGGCGUAAAGCGCACGCAGGCGGUCUGUCAAGUCGGAUGUGAAAUCCCCGGGCUCAACCCGGGAAGUGCAUUCGAAACUGGCAGACUAGAGUCUUGGAGAGGGGGAGAGAAUUCCAGGUGUAGCGGUGAAAUGCGUAGAGAUCUGGAGGAAUGCCUGUGGCGAAGGCGGUCCCCUGGACAAAGACUGACGCUCAGGUUCGAAAGCGUGGGGAGCAAACAGG